GCCGGAGUGGUGAAACUGGUAGACGCAGAGGACUCAAAAUCCUCCGGGCCUCGCGCCCAUGUCGGUUCGAUUCCGACCUCCGGCACCA
rnacentral:tRNA from 1 species